rnacentral:rRNA from 1 species
GACGAACGCUGGCGGCGUGCUUAACACAUGCAAGUCGAACGGAAAGGCCCUGCCUUUGUGGGGUUCUCGAGUGGCGAACGGGUGAGUAAUACGUGAGUAACCUUCCCUUGACUUUGGGAUAACUUCAGGAAACCGGGGUUAUAACCCGAUCGGAGCACCUGCUGCAUGGUGGGGCUUGGAAAGUUUCGGCGGUUGGGGUUGGUCUCGCGGGUUAUCAGCUUGUUGGUGGGCUAGUGGUAUCCCAAGGCCUUGGCGGAUCGCCGGCCUGAGAAGGUGACCAGCCACAAGGGGACUAAGAGACGGCGCAGACGCCAACGGGAGGCAGCAGUGGAGAGUAUUGCACAAUAAGCCGAAGUGUGAGAAAGAGACGCUGCGGUCGGAAUGACGGCCUUCCGGGUGUGAACCGCUUUCGCCUGUGACGAAGCGUGAAUGACGGUACUGGGUGAAGAAGCACCGGCUAACUACGUG